ensembl:snRNA U6 U6 spliceosomal RNA
AGUACAUAUGCUAACACUGGAACCAUACAGUGGAACCAUACAGCCAAGAUUAGCAUGGCUCCUGAGCAAGGAUGACAAAUUCAUGAAACAUUCCACAUAUUU